rnacentral:sRNA from 1 species
CUGAAAUGGAAAGGUGGGACCCCACUAGGUUGUG